UGCGGUUGCGGAGAAAGCAGCAAAUCCCCCGGCUGUGCGCGCCCUGCCCGGGAUGCUCCAUCCCCGCCUGUGCCGCCCGGGUGCCUGCGCGGCUGGGAGCGCUGCCUAGGGGCGGCGGGGCAGGGGAAAACACGGCUUGAAAGGGGGAGGCACGGGCCUGGGGGGGGCCACCUCCGAGGGGCUGCAGGUGGCUUCGAGGCAGGGCUUUGGGGCUCCUGCCGCCUCGUGGGGCAUGGCACGCGUGGGAGCCGGGAGCGCUCGCCCCUGCGGGAGCAGAAGGCGAAGUCUUUCGCGAUGAAUCCCCGGCAGCUUCGAUCGAGCGGUGAGCUGGAGCACCUACCCGCAGGCCACUCCUCGAUGUGACUGCACGGAGGCCUUCGCCAGCGCUCGGAGAGGCGAGCAGAGCCGUGGAUUUACCUCCCGCGCACCCGCAGCCCCCCAGCACAGGCACCGCCAGAUUCCGGUGACAGAUGGAUCUCUCUCAUGUGCGCUUGCUCUUUCCCUCUCUGUAUUUUUGUUUUCGACAUGUUUGAUCUGAAGCUCUGAAGCUUCUCAGAGGGAACCCAGAAGAGAAGGAAGAGGAGGAGGAGGAGGAACUGAGGGAGCGUGAGCGACAGAGGAGGCAGCCCUGCCUUAUUCUCCAAAUCACACCGUGGAGGGGCAGGGAAAGACUAGAGGGGGGAGGGCUUGGG